GCUUCUUGAGGUGGUCAAUUGCGGCAACCACACACCUAUUUAUAGGGAUAAGAGAUCCAAGGACAGCCGGACUUGGCAAGAGGC
rnacentral:ncRNA from 1 species